rnacentral:rRNA from 1 species
AAAUUCUUGGAUUUGCGAAAGACGAACAACUGCGAAAGCACUUGCCAAGAGUGUCUUCAUUAAACAAGAACGAAAGUUAGAGGAUCGAAGACGAUCAGAUACCGUCCUAGUUCUAACCAUAAACGAUGUCGACUAGGGAUCAGCGGGCGUUAUCGUACGACCCCGUUGGCACCUUACGGGAAACCAAAGUUUCUGGAUUCCGGGGGAAGUAUAGUCGCAAGGCCGAAACUUAAAGGAAUUGACGGAAGGGCACCACCAGGAGUGGAGCCUGUGGCUCAAUUUGACUCAACACGGGAAAACUUACCAGGUCCAGACAUAGUAAGGAUUGACAGGUUGAGAGCCCUCUCUUGAUUCUAUGGGUGGUGGUGCA